GAUCGUAUCGCGUUAUUCGCCUGGUGUUUCGGGUUUUUAAUUCGGUGAAACGUAUUAUAAUUGCGUGGUGGUUCAAAUUGAAGAAAUUUGGCUGUAUCUCGGGAACUGUUCGUGCGAUUUGAAUGAUUCUUUUAAAUUGAGAUAGUGCGAUCUUGGCACCCCGCAAAUUAGGCCAGAAGUACCUUAAAAUCGCUCUUAAACUUUGUCGAUUUUUAUUCUAUGGCCUUUGCAAUACAAAGAAUUGGCUGUGGAAAGUGAACGGGAACUCGCAGGCGGGCCAUAUUUACAUCAGAUAGGCUGUAGAAAUUGAACGGAAACUCGCAGGCGGGCCAUUUUUACAUCAGAUUGGCUGUAGAAAUUGAACGGAAACUCGCAGGCGGGCCAUAUUUACAUCAGAUUGGCUGUAGAAAUUGAACGGAAACUCGCAGGCGGGCCAUAUUUACAUCAGAUUGGCUGUAGAAAUUGAACGGAAACUCGCAGGCGGGCCAUAUUUACAUCAGAUUGGCUGUAGAAAUUGAACGGAAACUCGCAGGCGGGCCAUAUUUACAUCAGAUUGUAAGUAUUGUAAUUCUGCAUCAUCUCUAUAACCUAGUUAUGCAAUUUUCUCACGGGAAAGCCAUAAAAAUUGCAUUU